UACGUAGGGUGCGAGCGUUAAUCGGAAUUACUGGGCGUAAAGCGUGCGCAGGCGGUUGUGCAAGACAGAUGUGAAAUCCCCCGGGCUCAACCUGGGAACUGCAUUUGUGACUGCACGGCUGGAGUGCGGCAGAGGGGGGAUGGAAUUCCGCGUGUAGCAGUGAAAUGCGUAGAUAUCUGGAGGAACACCGGUGGCGAAGGCGGCAUCCUGGACCAAUUCUGACGCUGAGGAGCGAAAGCCAGGGGAGCAAACGGG
rnacentral:rRNA from 1 species